AUUGAACGCUGGCGGCAUGCUUUACACAUGCAAGUCGAACGGUAACAGGCCUUCGGGUGCUGACGAGUGGCGAACGGGUGAGUAAUGCAUCGGGACGUGCCCAGAGGUGGGGGAUAACGCAGCGAAAGCUGUGCUAAUACCGCAUGUGAUCUGAGGAUGAAAGCGGGGGACCAAGCAGCAAUGUUUGGCCUCGCGCCUCUGGAGCGGCCGAUGUCAGAUUAGGUAGUUGGUGGGGUAAAGGCCUACCAAGCCGACGAUCUGUAGCUGGUCUGAGAGGACGACCAGCCACACUGGGACUGAGACACGGCCCAGACUCCUACGGGAGGCAGCAGUGGGGAAUUUUGGACAAUGGGCGCAAGCCUGAUCCAGCAAUGCCGCGUGCGGGAAGAGGGCCUUCGGGUUGUAAACCGCUUUUGUACGGAACGAAAAGGCUCUGGCUAAUACCUGGGGCUGAUGACGGUACCGUAAGAAUAAGCACCGGCUAACUACGUG
rnacentral:rRNA from 1 species